GGACAUUGCCGCGCUCUUCGCCUAGAUCCCUUCACCUCUAUGUUCCCCAUUCACAGCCGCCCAUCCACGAUCCCUCGACCAUUAUCUCACCCGCCCCCUCCUCUCCUCUGCCCCCGAUCGCCGCCGGACCUCGCUGCCCGCCUCUCCCGCAUUCUCCGCCGAACCCCUUCACGUGCCCUCGACUAGAUCUCAGCGCCCCACCAACUAUCCUCCGCCCGCGAGACGCCGAACUCGAGGGACUGAGUUCCCACUCUGCUGCCCAGCCUUGGUUUAAGCUUACGUUGGUAUUGACUGGUUGUUUGUUGUGCUAAUUAAUCUAUUUAUAUUUCCCAUUUAGGUUGUUUUCAUGCUUGAUCUCCAUCUCCUUUAGGUUUGCAGAAUGAAUAACACUCCCCAAUGCUGGUCUAGUUUAUGAUAUCAGCUCAUUAUCUUGAUGAUAAGUGGAGAGCCGCCAAAGUUUGGUUUCGAGUGUAAGAAAAAUAAAAAUAUGGCAGGAAGUCACAAUCUAAUCAACAAACUCCCCCCAUAGUGCCUGAUGCGCAUCUUCAACUUCCUUGAAUCGUCACGGGAUCAUUGUGCCAGUGCUUCAGUAUGUAGGCGUGGGGACCUAUCCUCUUCAUCAUUUGACUUCUCUUUAUCUUGACGAUGUUCCUUUUGUUGGGAUCAUUGACGAUGGCCUAAAGAUUAUUGCACAACUAAGCCCAAUGCUUGCAUCUCUUACACUUCAAAACUGUCAUUCUAUGAAAAAUGUGGGAUCAAUGUUUGUUGCUGAAUUUUGAUAACAGCUUGAAAAGCUAGAGCUGAUAAAUUAGUUUAUUGAUGAUGAAGGGAUCAUGCCAAUAGUUGAGAAUUGCUUACAUUUGUCUGCACUGAGCCUAGAGCACUGUCCUCGAAUUGCUGACGCUUUGCUAGCUGGAGUUGAGCCUCAACUAUCUCUGUAAUUUUUGUAAAUAUUUUUUUCCUUGGCUGUUGCUGAGUACGCGAAUAUGUGGAUGAUAUUCAUUUUUCUAUUGUAAGUACAAUUUAUACUUGUAAUAUUUUACAUGUCUACUUGGUUGUCGAUGAUAGUUUCUUUGGA